AGGGUACAUUAAGUGAAAAAAAAAAGAAAAAACUUAUCAACGACAAACUAAUCACAAGCCCAUCUACUCCAUUGUUCAUUUGCACAACCAUCGAUAUUUUAUGAAAGAUGUGUAAUAAGUAAUAAAUUAAGAAAAAGGCCCGUUUUCUUCUGUAGCUCUUUUUUUCUUCAAAACUAUUCAAUAUUUACAUUUUCAAUCAAAGACAGUUACUAUUGAAUCUCAAACAAUUCAUUUUGGGUGAUUGACUGCGGUUAAAAUUUUCCCAAAAUGUGUGCAGAGGUUUUCUCCAUUGGAGAUGCUUAUAUUGAGACACAGAGCUCAACGAGAAAUGCCCACAAAUCUCCAAAUAGAUCUACAAAUAAUGAGAGAGCAAAAAAAACUAUAGUAAUAAUGAAUGUAACUGUUAACACUUUCUAUCAAUAUAACUUUUCGAUGGAUGUAAGAAAAGUUACGCGGGGAGGAAUACACAUGAUUUUGUAUCGAGGCUGUUCUGAAAGAUACUAAAAAAAUCGUUUUCUUUCAACUUUUUGACAACUUUAUUUUAACGUUUGACAUUUUCUUCUUCAAUAUGUUACGUUGGUUUUAACGUCUGGCACAUCUCAUGUCUUAAAAAAGAUUUGACAUUUCUCAAUUUUGACAUUCCUUUUCUGUAAGUAUUUGACAUUCCUUUUUUCUAACGUUUCACUUUUCUAUUCUAAAGAUUAAUUGUAUUUUUUAAGCUUAACGUUUCUUUUUUAGUCGUUUAAGUUUGUUUUAACGUCUGGCACUUCUUUUUAACAUUUGACAUUUCUCAAUUUUGACAUUCCUUUUCUAACGUCUAAAAACAGUGAAAAAAAUUCUUGAAAUUUCACGUAAGAAGUUCCUAAACUUUUCUUUUAAUCAAAUCUAUUUAAUUCUUAUGAAAAUUAAAUUUCUUUAUGCCUUCAAAGUCAAUAAGAAAAUUAACCGAAAGUACUGUAGUGCAAUGAGAAAAUCUAGGUCAAAUUAGAACUUCUUCUCAGAGAUAGAAAGCCUGUUAAAGAAAUUAUUUUUCAAAACUUCUAAAGCAACCUCGUUGUGUAUUCCAACGAUUUUUUCAUUACAUUCAAAACAUUAUUAAAAUAUUAUUCACGCACAGCAAUAUAAUUGUAAAAGAGUGGGAUAUUACGUUGAAAUAUUUUGCCAUGAUGGAUACAAUAUUCUGUUAAAUCGUAAGACCCAAUUUAAGAUCAACUUUCUAGUAUUUUCCAAUCAUUAGAAUUUAAUUAGAUAUAAUUUCAUAUUAAUAUAUGCAGCAUUGUUCAAUCUUUUGCAUUCCGACAAAAACACAACACCACAGUGAGACUGAAUCAUUUUUUUUCUACGUCUCUCGUAAACCAUAUAUAAUAUUAAUAUUUUUUUAUUCAUAUAUAAAUCCCAUGCUUUACAAUAUAGCCAUUUAAUAGUCUAAAGUAAUUAAAGUGGUUACAACAUCUGAAUUGUUCAUUUGAGAUACAUAUCUUUCGACAUUGUAUAUUAAAAUUUUAAAAUAUUCUACGCAUAGAGAUUAACAUUUAAGUAAUUUAAAGAAAAAAAAACGAUACAGAGUGGAUUGUGUGGGGCAGAAAAGAGAUGGUCUUGGAGCAUUUGUCUGCUGAAUGUUGGCAUAUUAAAAGUCAUUUGUGGUGCAUUGUAGCAUUAAUAUCUUUUCUCUAUGGAGGAUGGAAAUCUCCAUGUGUUGCUCAAAUAAAAUAAUAAUCGUAAAUUUUAAGUAUUCAAAUGAAUAGCGCUGUAAUUUUAUAUAUAAAACACUUUGUAUCUUAUAUACAGAAGUAUUAAACGGAGAAGAGUUGGGGAAAAUAGUUUAAAAUUUUUGAAAAAAAAAAUAAUACUUAAAUAAAAUCAUUGGCAAUAAAAUUAGUUGUUUUGUUCUCUUUUACGUGAAAUUUUUCAUUAUGAAAGUAAUACAUUUUUUUUCUCUAUUUUUAAGCAUCUUGACCAUUUUCUUAACCAUUUUCUUGGCUAUUUCUGUAAAUUGUUGGAUGUUCAAGAAAUAAUGCUCUGUGCUUAAGAAAUCUUUGUAUAAACGAAAGAAAAUCCUCAUUUGAAAAAUUCUUAAUUAUUUUUCAUUUAACAAAAUCAUUUUCUCUCUUUGUAUUCUCAUCUUUCGCAUGAACAUUUGGCGGUAUGGUGUACAAAGUAUCUCUCUGUACAAAAGCGUGUGCGAGGGAGAAGACAAAAUUGGUUUAAAACUUUUUUUUAUGUUGAAAGGAAUAAAAAUAUGAAGUUGUGUGUAUUUAUUUAAACAGACACUUUUAUAAGGAAUUGCUCACUCUGUGCUUGCCUCAAAAAUAACCAUCAACCAUCUCCCAUCCAUUCCCACUCUUCUUAUAAUUCCUUUGAAGUAAUACACAAAGUAAUUAUUUACAGUUGAUGCAUGCGGUUGUUUAUAUAUUUUAUAAUUAUAAAGUUAUUAAUAGAGAUUUUUCGUAUAUAUAUUCAUUUUUUCCCUCAGCGAGAUUGCCUUCAUAUCAACGUUUAAACUUUUCAAAACGUCAACUUUUCUUCUUUUUUUGAUGGAAGAUUCCCUUUGGAAUAUUUUAUAUUAUUAUGUUUCCCUCUGUGCCAUUCCCUUUAUCAUUUCUUCCUCUCUUCCACAUUGAUUUUAUUACAUAUUAAGAAAGAUUUUUUUUUCACCACAUGAAAAUAUGGGAAAGAGAUUAUGUAUAUACAAAGUAUGAAUGUUAAUGGAAAAGAGAUGACAAAAAUCCCAUUUAUUGCUAUAUUAAUUAUCAUUAAUUCUCCCUCUUGUCUCAAUUUACAAGAUUUGUCCCAUGGGCACUCCUCCGGGCAGUCUUCCCACUGCAUGGGGCCCCACGAAAAAAAAAAACGCGCAACAUAAGAUUCGGAGAAGCAGCAGCAAGGAAGAAAAAAUUUAAAUGGGGAGGUUGAAUUUGUUUUAAAUUAAAAUCCCCCUUCGUGUGAAUUAAUUAAUAUAUACAAAAUGCUGUAAACAUAUCGAGAAAUGAGUUCGGAAAGGCAAUUAAAUUCUCUCCACCAGACACUCGAAGGAACGAUUGUGGAGGCAUUUAAGAGUGUAUCGGCAAUUUUUUUCUUGCUCCAUAUUAGACAACAUUUUCCAAAGUGCCAAUCAAAUUCUAAUUAUCUCCAAUUAAAUCUGCUUAUAUUGCCACGAAAAAUUUAUUUUAAUAUUCGUUAAAUGUAGCAAUAUUUUUUCUUUCAAAGUUUCAUUUAAGUUUAUUCUUGUAUUUAUAUUAUUCAAUGAGAAAGAAUUAUUCCAUUCAUUGGAAUUUUAAGGACUAUUUUUUGCAAUAAUUAAAUCCGCAGUAGGGAGAUUUAAAGUCCCAGUCUGGUAUCCAGAUGAGGUAAAAUCGUGGACAAAGAUUGAGAAUGAAUUAAUCUUCAAGAUAUGAGAGACAUAUAUAAUUCUAAACCAAAAAUCAUCGGAAAAGAGAGUCAGGCUAUUAGACAAAAAAACCAACAAUGACGUCAUUGUUAAGAUUUUAGGACAAAAUUUUACCAGAUAUUCCUAAAUGGUCUAACAAUCUGUUGAAAAUGAGAUAUGUUUGAUUACAAGAUUACGUAUAUCACGCUUGUUUCCUUUAUUGAGGAUCUUUUUCAUACAAUAAUGAAUAAACUCCUUUGCUUAUAAAGCAUUAUCUGAUCCACUCAAGUAUCUGAGCUGUUUUUUUAUCUCUUCAAAAUAUGUCACAGUAAAUCUUUGUGGCAAAUCCAUUUUAUAUUAACAAAGAAUAAACGUCAAAUUUAUUUAUUAAAAAUUACUGAAUUAAUCACAAAGUUUUUCCUUUAAAAAAAUACCAAAACGAAAGGUAAUCAAUCCUGUACGAUGGAAAACACAAAAUAAACUACUUCCAUGUGAUGUAUAAAUUUCUGGCAGAAGUACCUGUAAUUACUUUAACGUGCGAUAAGUUUUAUUUUUAUCAGUCACUAUCUUAUCUAUUACGCAGAUAAAAUGGGUCACUUUGGCACCCAAAAGAGAGGUUGACGAAACUUUAGUAUACUUUCAGAAAAUCUCCUGAUGCAAGUGCUUUCUGUAGCUCAGAGACUUAUGGUUGUGUUUGCGUCAAUAUUGCUCCUUCUUGCGUUUCUGUUACUCCUUCAUUGGUGUUUCAAGCAAAUUCGCGAGUAUCGCAGCAGACAGCAAGAGGAGCCACCAAAUGAGUGUGAUAUCUACGUGAUAGAAAGUGGAAUUGGUGGGUCACAGAGGAAUAAUCAAGUACAGGAAGUACCAUCGUUUGAUAGUGUUGUUCUCAAAUCCGACGGUCUUCCAUCCUACGAAGAAGCCAUUGCGUAUCAAAAAAAGCACGAUUCUCAGAGAAAAACAAUGGAAACAACUUGUUAGAAGAUUACACAAAGAUUUUCCAUUUGGAAAAACCCCCGAAAAAAAAUAUUGAAACGAAACCUCCACAAUGGAUUAAAAGACUGUAUCUGUGAGAAAACAAUAAAAAGAUAAUGUAUGAGCGCAUAUCUCUAUGUACCUAUAAUAUACUAAAUUCCAUAUAAACGAUAUUUUAUUAAAUACUUUAUAUCCAUAA